rnacentral:rRNA from 2 species
CUCGUAGUUGAAUUUCGGGAUCAAUAUAACGGUCAUGCCGUUGGUAUGCACUGUUAUAAUUGAUUUCUCACCUUCUAAAGAACCGUAAUGCCAUUAAUUUGGUGUCACGGGGAAUUAGGACUGUUACCUUGAAAAAAUUAGAGUGUUUAAAGCAGGCUUACGUCUGAAUACAUUAGCAUGGAAUAAUGAAAUAGGACGGAUGAUCCUAUUUCGUUGGUUUCUAGGAUCACCGUAAUGAUUAAUAGGGACAGUUGGGGGCAUUAGUAUUCAAUUGUCAGAGGUGAAAUUCUUGGAUUUAUUGAAGACUAACUAUUGCGAAAGCAUUUGCCAAGGAUGUUUUCAUUAAUCAAGAACGAAAGUUAGGGGAUCGAAGACGAUCAGAUACCGUCGUAGUCUUAACCAUAAACUAUGCCGACUAGGGAUCGGACGAUGUUAUUUAUUGACUCGUUCGGCGCCUUACGGGAAAC